GAUGAACGCUGGCGGCGUGCCUAAUACAUGCAAGUCGAGCGGUAAGGCUUUCACAGAUUAUUUAACCAGAUAAGUUCUUCGGAAAACUGUCUGCAGCGUUGUUCUCCCGGCUAGGAGAAUAAGGUUGAAUAAUGCGUGAAAGUACACGAGCGGCGGACGGCUGAGUAACACGUAGGAACGUACCCCAAAGUGAGGGAUAAGCACCGGAAACGGUGUCUAAUACCGCAUGUGAUCUUCGGAUUAAAGCUUCGGCGCUUUGGGAACGGCCUGCGCAUGAUUAGCUUGUUGGUGAGGUAAAAGCUCACCAAGGCGACGAUCAUUAGCUGGUCUGAGAGGAUGAUCAGCCAGACUGGGAC
rnacentral:rRNA from 1 species